UUGUUGUUUUGUUUAAGUGUUCUUCGUGUUCGUCCUUCAGUAAAGAAGAAUGUAUUCUAACCACGCUGUGCUUUGGUCUACUCCAUACGAUGAUCGUGAGAGGCACACUCAGAAUGACUAUCGUCGGGCGGAAAUGGAGAUGAAGAAAUGGGAGAGAGAACCGAGUUUGAGGAGGACGGCAGCUGGCCAUGGCCAUACAGAGGGCUCUGAUGACGUCCCAAACCCUUACAGUGAUGUCAUGUGACAGGAAGAGG